rnacentral:tRNA from 2 species
GCGAAUGUGGUGGAACGGUAGACACGUUAGCUUGAGGGGCUAAUGCCAGUACUGGUGUGAGGGUUCAAAUCCCUCCAUUCGCACCA